AAGAAUUAAAUGGAUGAAAUAUGAAGUUUUAUUAAAAGAAAAAGGGGUGAAAAGAACAAAGUUUUGUCCAUCUUUGUUCAUCAUAGCUGAAAGUUAGAGAAGAGAAAGGAGAGGAGAAAGCUCUUGAGUAUUCGGUCAUUAGGAGGAGGAAAAUUGAAGGCGGUUCGUGUGUGGAUCUCGUCAGCAUAUCGUCGCAAACAGGUGUGUAACUGACACCCUCUCAUAGACUAGAUUGGCAAAAGCCGAAAAGCCGAAAUACCGAAAAGUCGGUAUUUUGGGAAUUUUCGAGUGUGCGAAUGCUCGUAAAAUAGUUAGGUUUGUAUAUUUGGUAAUCUAAAGUAAUAAACUGCAGCACGCGCGAUUUCGUA